rnacentral:rRNA from 1 species
CACGUAGGGUGCGAGCGUUGUCCGGAAUUAUUGGGCGUAAAGAGCUCGUAGGCGGCUUGUCGCGUCGAAUGUGAAAUCCCGGGGCUCAACCCCGGGUCUGCAUUCGAUACGGGCAGACUAGAGUUCGGUAGGGGAGUCUGGAAUUCCUGGUGUAGCGGUGAAAUGCGCAGAUAUCAGGAGGAACACCGGUGGCGAAGGCGGGACUCUGGGCCGAUACUGACGCUGAGGAGCGAAAGCGUGGGGAGCAAACAGG